rnacentral:rRNA from 1 species
GAUGAACGCUGGCGGCGUGCCUAAUACAUGCAAGUCGAGCGAACGGACGAGAAGCUUGCUUCUCUGAUGUUAGCGGCGGACGGGUGAGUAACACGUGGAUAACCUACCUAUAAGACUGGGAUAACUUCGGGAAACCGGCGCUAAUACCGGAUAAUAUUUUGAACCGCAUGGUUCAAAAGUGAAAGACGGUCUUGCUGUCACUUAUAGAUGGAUCCGCGCUGCAUUAUCUAGUUGGUAAGGUAACGGCUUACCAAGGCAACGAUGCAUAGCCGACCUGAGAGGGUGAUCGGCCACACUGGAACUGAGACACGGUCCAGACGCCUACGGGAGGCAGCAGUAGGGAAUCUUCCGCAAUGGGCGAAAGCCUGACGGAGCAACGCCGCGUGAGUGAUGAAGGUCUUCGGAUCGUAAAACUCUGUUAUUAGGGAAGAACAGAUGUGUAAGUAACUGUGCACAGCUUGACGGUACCUAAUCAGAAAGCCACGGCUAACUACGUG